rnacentral:rRNA from 1 species
GACGAACGCUGGCGGCGUGCUUAACACAUGCAAGUCGAACGGAAAGGCCCUGCUUGCGGGGUGCUCGCGUGGCGAACGGGUGAGUAACACGUGGGUGAUCUGCCCUGCACUUCGGGGUAAGACUGGGAAAAUGGGUCUAAUACCGGAUAGGAGCCCUUUUGAGUGUGAUGGUUGGAAAGUUUUUUCGGUGGAGGAUGAGCUGGCGGCCUAUCAGCUUGUUGGUGGGGUGAUGGGCUACCAAGGCGGCGACGGGUAGCCGGCCUGGGGGGGUGGACGGCCACAAUGGGAACUGGAUACGGCCCCGACGCCUACGGGGGGCAGCCGUGGGGAAUAUUGCAAAAUGGGGGCAAGCCUGAUGCAGCGACGCCGCGUGGGGGAUGACGGCCUUCGGGUUGUAAACUCCUUUCGCUAGGGACGAAACUUUGUGUGACGGUACCUAGAUAAGAAGCACCGGCUAACUACGUG